CGUUGUUGAUACUAAUAUCACCUCCAAAAGGUGAAACUGGCAUAAAAUAUGAAAGUGAUGAUAUAAAAUGUGCAAAUGAUCAACUGAAUGAUUUUAUUGAAAUGACUAGCUAGGAUGUAUUGCAAUAGGAAAACACUCACCAAAAUAUAUGGUCUCAAAUGCAUUUGUUGGGAAUAGAAACCUUAACAUAUGUCUCUUCUUAAAUGUUUCAUGCUCCACUUAAUCUCCAUUCAUCAUGAAACGCUUCAUCCAUGGCUUAUAUGCCACCUUUUUUUUCUUUUGGAGCUAUAUUAAACAUUUUUCUUACCACAGCAAGUUUUGCUUCUAUUUCCUCUAACCACUAGCGUAAGAGGGGUAGAAAAUAUGAGCUUCUAUAACAUAAUAACCUAUAAAACCUUAUCUUCUAAUGUGAUGGUUGUUUCUUCCUAAGGAAAAGACAUCAUACAAUCAUUAAGUGCUAAAUUCCUACACCUAAGGGGAGGUGGUUCAAUGAGAUGCAAGUCCGACCCAACUCCAACUCUGUAGAGAGAAACUCUAGCAAUGCGAAGCCCUAGCAGAAUUAAGAAAAGAGAAAAUAAGACAAACACUAAAAAAGAUAGCAAAGCUCAAUUUUCUUCAUUGAUUUCAAAAGUAAUUCUUACUAAUAAGUCCUGAGGCCUAGCUUGUAGAAGUUGCUUGGCCCAACAAAUAAAGGAGUGGACUGGGCCUCUCU
rnacentral:lncRNA from 1 species